GGGGGGGGCAUUUUGUUUAUUUAUCCGAGUCAGAAUUUUGCCGCGCAAACGUUUUAUUCCGGUUUUUUUUUCGAUGCUGGUAAUCAAUUUUUUUUCUUCAACAUUUAACACUAUAAUGUGUGGGGAAACUCUUGAUUCAGAAUAUUUUUUAUCAUCUGUAGAACCAGAAUUGUUUUCUUUAUCCAAUUGGGGUUCGGAAUAUUUCCAUCCCCCCUAUUUAUAGUCAAAUGGUCGUUCCCUUGCUGCUAGAAAAGUCCGAAAACGUUUCAUUCGAUUCUACGUAAUAAACAUUUUUAAAUGACAUAGAGUUUACAAAUGUGAACAAAUCUUAUGUACAGGUAAUUAAACAAGGUGUAUAGAUGUGAACAAAUUUAAUGUGAAACCAAUGUCCAGUUCAUUAAACUAAUUGUAAACAAGUUUACUGUACAUGGAAUUUGGUGUGAACACGGC
rnacentral:lncRNA from 1 species